rnacentral:lncRNA from 1 species
GCAAUGAUGAAAAUAGCAGAAUAUAGUACAAACUAGUAAUUGACAAACACAUAUAAAUACUUAGUUGUAAUGUAGAAGUAUGAAAGUUAGUCAUUCAUUGUUAUUUCAUUUUAUUUACAUACUUUGACUUAAAAGAAGUGCCGACACAUGUUACUACAAUCUUAACCCAUUCUUAUCGCAUAAAAUGUUUGUUUUGUUUAAAUUUCUUUGUUUUUGUUUUUUAUUUUUAGAGCUAUCGAAAGUAUCAAAUUUUCUUUAUGCUGCCAACUAAGGCCAUUGGAUAUUAAAGUUCUUUCUUUUCUUUGAGAGAUAAGUCAAAUCACCAACUUGCAACCCCCAUCUUUUUGUAUUAUCAACUCUCUCCCUAUAUCUCUUUACUCAGCACAAUAUUACUUUACACAAACCCUUCUCCAUUCAUCCUUAACUCUCUCUGAUCCUUUAGAGUGGGAUGAGAAGAAGCUUCGCUAGCUAAAACAUAUCCUAUUAUGUAAUGGACUCAUUAUGAUGUCUCGGUGAAGCAAUAUUUCCUUUUUCCACUGUAUGUCAAUACUUUACGUGGUAUGUGAUGAUUAUGCACCGCUAUAUGAUAUUUGUGCACUCACUUUUGUCAUCCCAAGAACGCGUAAUUUCCCUUAUCGUAAUGCAUGCCAUUUAACCUAAUUUACCCAACAUCUUCUUCAGCCUGUGUACUCUGUUACCACCUCUGCUUCGGCUGCAUGCAUAACCCCCACCAAGUACCUAGAACCCUCCACUACAACCGGGAAGUCUAAUGGGUAGUGGUAAAGAGAGGUAGGUGAUUAGGUUAAAAGGAGGUCUUUUAAGAUAACAACGUGGUAAUAACGCUGCUGACUCUAUUUCGUAGUAGUUGUGACUUACUAAGUUUUAAGGCCAAAAACUGUCAAAACAGCAGUUGUCUUGUGGUCCGACAAAGCGGAGCAAGAAAGACGGGAAGGGAGGAAUUAAGUGCCUUGGACUCCUCGGUUCAAAUCAAAUAAAGUAGGCACUUUUAAAAAACGGGACCGUUCCAUGUAGUGGUGGAAGAAGAGAGAGAACCUUGAAAAAAAGAAAAGAUAAAUAACAUAUAAUAUUUGUGUACAAAAUGAAAAAGAUGGAUUAAUUUCAAAGUUAAAGUGUAAGAGAAAAAAAUAAAGAAAAUUUGUUAUUUAUCUCAACCAAAAAAAAAAAAAAAAAAAGAAAAAGAAAAAAAAAGUAUUAAAGGAUUCCGUCAGGUUUGCACUUGUUGGAAAGCUAAAAAAUGUUUACAGAUCACCGGAUUUGGGCUAAUUGCGUGGAAUCCGUGAGUGCUGCCAAAGAGUAGCAGAUGGGAUGAGAUGAGAUGUGAUGCGAAUGUGAAUGUGAAUGUGAAAAAUUGUAAGCCAAAUGCUGUUUCUCACGAUAAAAACUAAAGAAAAGCAUACAUUGAAAAUUAGAAAAGAUAAAACAAGAAAAACAGAUUUGGUGCUUAUGCGCUGGUCGGUAAAACAGUUUUCCUUGGACUGAUAACAAGAGGGAUGGAUAAAUAAACACGCUCGCUGAUAACUUGUAAAAAAUAAUCAAAAUAAGAGUAAAUAAAAAUGAUAAAAUAAAAAACAACGAUAACAAGGGACGAGUGGGUGAAAGGAAAUUUUAUGUUUGCGUUUUCGUUGAACCAGCGCAGUACAGAAAUACAGAAAGAAUUGGGAAGUACAAUAACAGCUGGGAUGUGGGAUGUGGGAUUUAAUGGUAGGCAGGAUAGGGUAAGCAAUGCUGGGACAAAGAGAAAGAGGUGAGGGGGGUGAAAAAGUUUUGUGAAAGAAAGGAUUGUUUAUGCUACGGUUGGAGAAGAGAGGCGAGGGGAAGUGAGGAUGGCUUGGAUGUAGUAAGGAUAAUAGGAAAUUAGAAAUAAAAAAAAAAAAAAAUUUGGAUAUGAUACAUAAAUGGUAAAAAAUAAAUAAUAAAUUAAUAAUCA